AGCAGCCGCGGUAAUUCCAGCUCCAAUAGCGUAUAUUAAAGUUGUUGCAGUUAAAAAGCUCGUAGUUGAAUUUCGGGGUUAGCAAGUUGGUCGUGCCACUGGUAUGUACUGGCUUUGCUGAUUCCUCCUUCUUGUAGAACCGUAAUGCCAUUUAGUUGGUGUUGCGGGGAAACAGGACUGUUACUUUGAAAAAUUAGAGUGUUUAAAGCAGGCUAACGCCUGAAUACAUUAGCAUGGAAUAAUGAAAUAGGACGAGCGAUCCUAUUUUGUUGGUUUCUAGGAUUGACGUAAUGAUUAAUAGGGAUAGUUGGGGGCAUUAGUAUUCAAUUGUCAGAGGUGAAAUUCUUGGAUUUAUUGAAGACUGACUACUGCGAAAGCAUUUGCCAAGGAUGUUUUCAUUAAUCAAGAACGAAAGUUAGGGGAUCGAAGACGAUCAGAUACCGUCGUAGUCUUAACCAUAAACUAUGCCGACUAGGGAUCGGAUGAUGUUAAUUUUUUAAUGACUCAUUCGGCGCCUUAC
rnacentral:rRNA from 1 species